AAUCCCAAAGCUCCAUCCAUUCCUCACAUCUCGUUCAACUAAAAUCCCACACUCCAACCAUGUUCCCAGCCAAGUCGCAGUAGUUUCCAACAACUUGAUCAAUCACAUCCGUUUCCCUUCAUCCGCAUGAGUCCACGUGAUCAUCUCCCAGCGUCCUACACUCAUUUCCGCAUCCUCCGCUAAUCUCACGCACGUCUCUCUUCCCUUCUGAAUCCAAGGAACAGAGUCUCCCCAUGUAUCAAAUCCCUUAUAUCCCGCGAUUCAUCCUCAUCUUCAAGCUCUUCCCGAUUGCCUCCUUCCUAGAUUUCCUCCAAGCAACAGAGAACACCAUCCCAGCUGAUUCUAGAAUUCAUUCCAACUCCCUGGCUCCCACUUCUCCCUCGAGUUCAUCCGAUCUCCUUCUCAGCCGAAUGCAGCCAUCCCCUGUUUUCCGGCCAUGCCGAGCAUCAUGGAAGAAGCUCACGCAUGCAUUGUCCACGUCCUCCACGUUGAUCCAGUCUUCAUCUCAACCGUGGACAACAUCCUAAUAUCUCCCAACAUUCCCAAGCCUCCCCUGCAUCCUCAUCCCGUUCGUAAUCAUCCUUAUCCCACAGCCAGCCACAUUCCCAAGCGUCCGUAGCGUUAAGGAUUGAUUCCAUCAUCCACGAAUGAGUUCCAAGCGAGCUUCAUCUCAACUGUCAACCGAAUCCAAACUCCCUCC
rnacentral:lncRNA from 1 species